GUGCUGGUUCGCCCGUUUGCCACCGCUCCUUCUGUGCCCACAUGCUGAAGUCCCUCGUCGGGGGCUCUCCGUCUCCGCCGCCUCGCCCGGUGAAGUGACCCUCGAUCACCUCGGGUUCUCAGAAUCUGGCAGAAUGUCAAAACUAUUCACUGGACCCUCUGGAAAGCACGUCUGCUUACCGUUAAGCCGUUUAGCUCCUAAUACCAACAACAAACACUCCUUCUGUGCCGGCGCCCGGGCACGGAGCACAGUGAGCCGUCUAUGAGGGAGGUCAGGACAACUCUUUAAUCGGACUCUGCCCAUCUGGCCCCGCCGGCGCUCCCACACUGAGCUGCUGGUCGGCGUCCUCAGCAGGAGACUAAGUGGGACACGGGGACACAGAUGCCCGACUGACACCGGACCACUCGCCGAGCGUAAAGCCUCAGCGAUGAAGCACGUCCAGUGUGUCAGGGCUACGCCUUUUUUCCGCGGUUGGUAAGAACCCGUGGUAGGAACAGGAUCGCCGCGGAGGACGUGACAAGUCGACCGCCCACAGCCAACAGCCACUGCACCUGAGGCUAAACAGACAAACUUAAUGUGUCACCUCCUCUGAGCUGAGGCCUGAUUCACGUCGUACACGUCUCUACUUUUGAGUUUCAGCGUCUUACGUAAUGUUCACGCGUCACACGUGCACUUUCCCCAGCAAACAAAGAACGAUGAUGUUGAAACGACACCAGGAUGAUUACAAACACACACACACACAAGAUUAUAAUCAACAUAUCAUGUGAGAAAAGUAAACCAUUGAAAUCUCUUUUGCAUUUGAAAGUUAUGACAAUUUACAAAAGUGUUUCUUUUGUAAUAAUAUGUAAAAUGCAGUCAUUUGUU